AGAGUUUGAUCCUGGCUCAGAACGAACGCUGGCGGCAUGCCUAACACAUGCAAGUCGAACGGUAACAGGUCCUUCGGGAUGCUGAGGAGUGGCGCACGGGUGAGGAAGCACGGGUGAGUAACGCGUGGAUACAUGCCUCGAUGUGGGGGACAACAGUUGGAAACGACUGCUAAUACCGCAUAAUCCCUGAGGGGGAAAGGCUUCGGCCGCAUUGAGAGUGGUCCGCGUCGGAUUAGCUAGUUGGUGGGGUAAUGGCCCACCAAGGCGACGAUCCGUAGCUGGUCUGAGAAGGUGACCAGCCACACUGGGACUGAGACACGGCCCAGACUCCUACGGGAGGCAGCAGUGGGGAAUAUUGCGCAAUGGGCGAAAGCCUGACGCAGCAACGCCGCGUGUGUGAAGAAGGCCCUCGGGUCGUAAAGCACUGUCGUGGGGAACGAGCCCUCUAUCGUUAAUAUCGGUAGAGCCGACGGUACCCCACAAGAAAGCACCGGCUAACUCCGUGCCAGCAGCCGCGGUAAUACGGAGGGUGCAAGCGUUGUUCGGAAUUAUUGGGCGUAAAGCGCGCGUAGGCGGGCCAUUAAGUCUGAUGUGAAAUCCCUGGGCUCAACCCAGGACGUGCAUUGGAUACUGGUGGCCUUGAAUCCUGGAGAGGGUGGCGGAAUUCCCAGUGUAGAGGUGAAAUUCGUAGAUAUUGGGAGGAACACCAGCGGCGAAGGCGGCCACCUGGACAGUGAUUGACGCUGAGGUGCGAAAGCAUGGGUAGCAAACAGGAUUAGAUACCCUGGUAGUCCAUGCCGUAAACGAUGGGUACUAGUUGGCGCGGGUAUUAACCCCUGCGCUGGCGAAGCUAACGCAUUAAGUACCCCGCCUGGGGAGUACGGCCGCAAGGCUAAAACUCAAAGGAAUUGACGGGGGCCCGCACAAGCGGUGGAGCAUGCGGAUUAAUUCGACGCAACGCGAAGAACCUUACCAGGCCUUGACAUCCCAAGAAAGCUCCCGAAAAGGAGCCGUGCCCUUCGGGGAACUUGGUGACAGGUGCUGUAUGGCUGUCGUCAGCUCGUGUUGUGAGAUGUUGGGUUAAGUCUCGUAACGAGCGCAACCCCUGCCUCUAGUUGCCAGCAUUUAGUUGGGCACUUUAGAGGGACUGCCGGUGUCAAGCCGGAGGAAGGUGGGGACGACGUCAAGUCAUCAUGGCCCUUACGGCCAGGGCUACACACGUGCUACAAUGGCAAGUACAAAGGGUUGCGAAGCCGCGAGGUGGAGCCAAUCCCAAAAAGCUUGUCUCAGUUCGGAUUGGAGUCUGCAACUCGACUCCAUGAAGUCGGAAUCGCUAGUAAUCGUGGAUCAGCAUGCCACGGUGAAUACGUUCCCGGGCCUUGUACACACCGCCCGUCACACCAUGGGAGUUGCUUGGGCCAGAAGUCGUUUGGCUAACCUUCGGGAGGCCGGCGCCCAAGGUCUGAUGAGCGACUGGGGUGAAGUCGUAACAAGGUAACCGUA
rnacentral:rRNA from 1 species